ACCAGACACCCCCUUUCCCCCUUCCUCGUUCUCUCUCUCGCAACCCCCCUCCCUCGAAACCCUCUCUUCGCAGCACCACCAGAUCCGCGCCCAGCCUUCACCGUACAGACGCCCAACCUCGUGCCAGACCUCGGUUCACGCUGAAUCGCAGACGCACCGAUCAAUCCUCCACCGUACCGUAUUUUUUAUGAUCAGUCGGAGAUUUGGCACGGUGCAAAGUGGCAAAUGCUGCUUGAGAUUGACAAUACAAAACCAUUCGAAAGAAGGCUAUCUCUUGGUGCUUGUGAACGCAUACGAAAGUCUCGACAAUAUUAGAUUUUUGGAGGACCACCAUGAUGAUGUCUCAUCGAAAACGGCAUGUGGAAAUAUAGAUUUUGUAGUUGGAUCAAUGCACCUCAACCUUUGCUGGUCAUAGAAAAAUAGUUUGUUUUCUGUCAAAGAAGCAUGCUUAACACAACCUAUAGUGUAAAAGGCAUUCAUUCCACAUCUAAACUAAAUCGAGGGUUGAUUUGUUAAACAUGGCUUAAUUGACCCUUAGUUCUCGAUCUUUAGACUUCAAAGUGCAACGUAUAGAUUAAAUAAUGUACUUUGUUGAGAGUUUACUUAUUAAACAAUUUGUCACUUUUGUGUUUGUUGAAAGUUGAGUUUUGUAUACAAAAGCAGUAGUUGAGAUUUUAUUUUGUACAUGUACAUGUGAAAGAGAAAUAUUGUUGUAAUUUAUGAGGAGUGUCAUAUGA